rnacentral:tRNA from 1 species
GGGGCUGUGGCUCAGUGGUAGGGCACUUGCCUCCCUUGUAUGAGGCCCUGGGUUCGAUCCUCAGCACCA